CCCAGCUUGGUUUGGUUUCUGUCUUCCCUUUAUGCCUUUUUUCAGGAUAUUUUCAUUUGCUUUACUGUCUCCUGGACACCCUCCAACCCAUGAGGGGCAGAAGCGGGCUUCCAGCCUCAUAUCAGCAGGCUACAGCUCUCAUGGGAGCACGAGAGCAUGUCUGAGGAGAAAUAAAUGCAAUCUGUGCUCAGCAAGAGGCUGUGGCAGAGCUUCACACUAAUGCCUUCUGUUAAUUUCAGAGUCCCCUCAAGAGAAAAAAGGCAUAUAAAAAGGAAGCUGAAAUUCCUCAAGGAUAACGGGAGUACCCAGGAAUUAUUUUUGGCUGUUGAAAUACUUGUAUGUAGCUGGCACCUUGAACAUUAAGGAAAGGCAGCCGUUCUCCAAAAACACAGAAGCUUUGCUUGUUUUAAGCAUCAAUUGUGACAACAUCAUUAGAAAAUCAGCAUCAUUACAACCACAAGGACCUUUUCCAUGUGAGAAUGCGUAAAACAUUAGAAGUGAACUUCUGUCUUCUGACAUGUGUUGCACCCUCCAAAUGAGCUGGAAAGAAAGUAGGAGUUUAUCAGGCAUCAAGUUCAGCCAUCCAAAUAUCGCAAUCCUCAUUUUUGUUGCUAGUCGUAUGCAAUUUUGAAAUGGUUUGUAAAUUUAAUUGUCAGUGUAUAGAGUAUGCUCAGGCCAUGCAAAAGCAACAGCACUGCCUAGGAUUAGCAGCUGUAUUUCUUAGGCAAGUAGGUCUAACCUGCUUUGUUGGAAGCAAAAUUGCCCCUGUGCUGUUUUAGCAAGGUGGCAGACAGAUAGGGUGACACUUGGUGCUGUGAACACUCAGAAAUGGUAGCACUUCUGGGUCAUCAGUCGCUCCACUAUAAAGCUGGAGCAAAGUUAUCUGCUUAUAUUGCCUGUUGUUACUACUUCCAAUGGCCAGGAGAUGAAAACAGAGGAUCUCCUUCCUUUUUACUGCACUAAUAUUAUGAAUGAUGGUAAUUGUGUUGUUUUUUUUUUCUUGUUUGUUUGUUUUUUUCAGGCUGAUGAGAAUCAGCAUUCAUUUUGGAAUUUUUGCUAUUGAUGGUCAGUACUUAAGUUAGGCAUCACUAUAAAUCAAGAUUUAGAACAUAUCUUGUCCCAGUGCGCGCUUCUACUCCUUGUGUGUUACAACUUACGUGAAUGAUUGGAUGCCAUAUUAAACUACUAUAUUACGCUAUAGUCUAUGUCUGACUUUCAGAGGAUCUUGAGUGGUACAGGUAGAUCACUUUAAUCUACUUUUAAUCCACUAUUUGUGUAGCGUUUGUUAGAUAUGGACAGCAGUUUGAGGUUGGAAGAACGAAAACUCUUGGAUGUUAGACAUUUCUAAUUCAUACUUAGCUCUA
rnacentral:lncRNA from 1 species